UACGUAGGGUGCGAGCGUUGUCCGGAAUUAUUGGGCGUAAAGAGCUCGUAGGCGGUUUGUCGCGUCUGCUGUGAAAACCUAAGGCUCAACCUUGGGCUUGCAGUGGGUACGGGCAGACUAGAGGUAUGCAGGGGAGAAUGGAAUUCCUGGUGUAGCGGUGAAAUGCGCAGAUAUCAGGAGGAACACCGGUGGCGAAGGCGGUUCUCUGGGCAUUACCUGACGCUGAGGAGCGAAAGUGUGGGGAGCGAACAGG
rnacentral:rRNA from 1 species